UGGUGACCAUAUGUACGUGGAGACACCUGUUCCCAUUCCGAACACAGUAGUUAAGCGCGUCCAGCCGAUGAUAGUGAGAGCACUCGCGAAAGUAGGUAUCGCCA
rnacentral:rRNA from 1 species